AGUUGCCUGCAAAACGGCUGAGAAUGCAAGUUCGAAUUUUGCUUAGUCCAGCUCACAGAGUUGCAAGACAAAAAGGAAACUAAAGCGACAAAUUACAUUUUUCCAGAUGAAACUAAAAAGUCUCCACAGAAGGGGUCACUUUGUGUCUCAAUGAGGGCAUUCUAAGCCCUUUCCGUUUGAUUGGCAGCCUGUUUAAAAUUUAUACUCUCAAAUUGUCAGAAGGGGCGCCCAAUUGUAUUAGAAAAUAGUCAGAGUGCUCUUGGUUAUGCUGCAAGUAGAUAGUUUGAACUCAUUUGAUUGCUAUUUUGAAUUAAUUGUGCCAUUCAUUAUUUGGGACCCAAUAAGCAUAAUAGGAGCACAAUCAGCAGACGUAAAAAUCAACUGUCCUUUGGCAUUUCGUGUGUGUUUGCACUGCCAAUUGCCAAUGCACAGCAUGCAAAAUUGGAAAUGCAAAUGCUAAGUAAAUAAUGUCAUUGCAAAAACUGCAAAUGCAAACAGCAAACGGCAAAUGGCAACGGCAAAUGAUGUGGCCGAGCCAGAAUCGGCGGUAACAAUCAGCAGGGCAGGCGCAAAUCGCAUUAGUUCGCUCCCGUGGCCUUCGAGUCCAUCCACAGCAGUAAUCGAAUGUGAAGCAGUGGUAUCCACUAUAUAUGGACUCGACAAAAUGCAUUUUCAAUACUCGACCAAAUUUACCCGCUCCUUUAAUUCUCCUGCCUAUUGUGCCGUACAAAUAUUCCAAAAUGCAUAGACUUUCGAGCAAUUGAAGCCCAAUCAAAAGAACGCGAGAGUCCUCCAAAUCGACGUUGGCAUUUGUGACGAGUGCAUCCAGGCCAAAGUCAUAAAUUGCGCUAAAAUUGAGAAUCGUUCUUGGCUUCGGUAUCGGUUUAUUUGGUGGGUUUGGGCUAGGGUUUGCGCUGGAACAGUUUGCCAGUUUGCCUAUGCAUGUUAAAUGAAAUUAUUGCAACUUUUUGCCCGGGCCACAUGGCGAAUGCGCAACUCUCGCUCAAUUCAUCAAUCACCGAAUUGGUCCCGAUGCUCAUGCUUUCUGCUCGCUAAAAAAUGGUUUAGAUUUAUGCGACUGUUGCCGCAGUCCAGUUUAUUUUUUGCGUGGCAAAACUUUAUGUUUGUUUUAAGUUCUUUUCGCUUUCAUUGCGCGCAGCACACUACAUUUCAUUUUGGCCACUUAAGCUUGAAUUUUGUUUCGGCACAGCAAGAGGAGCAAGUAUUUUUCUAGCAAAUCGUCGGCAUUUAAUCCAAUUUGUGUUCUGCCGCUAUGGUUUGUGCACUAUGGAAAACAGCAGGCUGUAAAGGAUUCUCUUACUCGAUUUAUUGCAAGGAGAAAAUUUAAUACCUAUGCUACUCCCUUGUGUAUCAACACAUAUAAUAGUAUGCGACUGAAAUUUGAUGAACAUAUUCUCUUUUAAAAAGCCCUAGUUCGUUUUGCAUUUAAGUUGGUAAUUGAAUACAAUUUUUUUGACGCGCUGCUAAUUUAUGAAAAUGUUAUAUUUAUGCAACUUAUUUUCGUGGUUGUUUUGGCCAUGGUAAAGCUGGUCGGAUCGUUAGCGCUGUUGGCCAUUUUAAAUGCUGCGAACACAACUCAAUUAAGCCUGUUACUGACGAAGGCAGCGCCGACCUCCCACUUGGCCAUUUCCAUUUCCAUUCCGGGCUCAGAGUUAGAGGCGAUUCCGGACACUCUCCACGCCAAUCGACGGCAUUCGGACGAAGUAGGUAUGAAAUUGGGGUGGGUGGCCGAUGAGUUCGGUCCGGUUGGACUCGGCUGGUCCAGGCUGGGCUGGGAAUAUCUCUCUGCCCGGCUGGCAGGUGUACAAGUCGUUUUGCCACUCCAUUGCAGCAGAUUCGAACGCCUGUGCGAGUGUCCGUGUGCGUGUUAAUUACAUUUGGCUUGCAUUUGGGCAAAGUUGGCCAAAAUUGAAUUACAAGUUUUUCGCUCGCCAGCAUUUAGCAAAAGCGUUUUUUUCGUUUGCGCAAUUUAGCUACACAUGGCCUGAGUGCUCGUCUGAAUGAGGGAAAUUUUCUCUUUAUUUCAUUUUGGCAAAAGUUGAGCGAAACUUCCGGCUGGAAAAUACAACAAAAGAAAAGAGUUUUAAGGGUUGUACAAAGGAAAGAAGAGAAUAUCCAUACCUUCUUCUACCUUUUAGGCAGAACCUCUUUUUAAGCAUUUCUCAGCUUUUUUUUUUCCUUUAAGUUUAGUUUUUUCGUACUUUUUAUGAGUAUGUAAGAGAUUAAGGUCACAAGCCACGGAUCGAAGCCUUAUAACAAUUAAAUACGACCGUAUUUAUAUAUUACCGCAACAAAAACUUGGAUCUCAAUCUCUUAUAUGUGCAAAAUAUAUAUAACAAUAAGAAUAUAUUUAUGUAAUACAAUAACAUCGGCGACCCCCUAUCUGAGUCUGACAACGUACGUUUUAUCAUAAGUACUUAAACUUUUAGAAAAUGGUGAUCUUUAACUUAAUUAUAAAGCGUUACUCGAAGAGGAUGAGGGUACACCAUACUCGCUGCAAAGUAUGUAGCAGGCAAAAGGAAGCGUUUUCGACCAUAUAAAUUAUAUAUGUUCUUGAUUAGGAUCAAAAAACAAGUCGAUCUAGCCCUGUCCACGUCGAGACCCAGGAGCUGUUAAAUCUAGAAAGUUGAAAUUCAGCAUCAGAUUCUAGAGACAUGGGCGCAGCGCAAGGAAAAUGUCAAAAUUUCUUCUUCGCACUUCCUUCAGCUGAGUAAUAUUUUUAUAUCCGUUACUUGUAGAGUGAAAAGGAAUACCAGAUUCUUUUAAAGCAGCCCCUAUGCCUUUACGAUCGAAAAUUAGGUAAAUAUUGAUAAUGUUUCGAGUAUGUUUUGUUCUCAAUAUGUAACUAACUGGUUUAUAAAAUGAUGUCAGAGUCGCGUAUUUCAUUAUGCCCUUAUUGCUCAAAUAAAUAAAUAUUUUACCCAAAUUGUUGUGAAACUGUUCCUAUAUUGAUUUCAAACUUGCACAUGGUCCUUUUCAAUAAUGUAGAAACCAACAGUUUAGGAGAUAAAUCCCAUUCAAAGUAAAACCAUCAAAAAAUGUUUCUGGGCUUAUCGAACGAAGCAUGACUUCGGGUCGAAAGGAAAAUGCCCCGAAUAUGCAUGGUUUUUGUCCGUUUUGAACGGCUAAGAAAAGCCUAAAGAAACAAUCAUAAAAAUUGCCAAAGUGCAAAAUUUUUUCAUCAAAUCGUUGAUAAUAAAAAAAUACCACAAAAAAUAUCAAAAAAUUGCUGAAAAGCUUAUUGUCUAUCUAGGGAUUGGAUUCUAGUACCAUGACUUAUAUAUAUUUAUCCAUUCGUUACUCCUUCCUUAAAUCCAUUUUAAAUAAAGGAAGAAGCACCCAACUACUAAACCAUUUAAGUUAAGUUUCUCUGAAUAGCUUUGCGAUCCUUGUUUACUUCUUGCACAUAAAAAGCUGUUAUGUGGACUCCGUAAAUUUGGUCAAGAAACCCGAGCCUUUUGUCCAUGCUAACCGGUUCCUGCAGUCAUCAUUAACCUUUCCGCGCGCACAUAAUUAAUGAGCCUAGCCAUUGUCUUCUUUGUUUUCCAGCCCCGCCACGCCUUCAAUGCAAUCAGCCUGCAAACAAGUGAAAACUUUGAGGAGGGAGCGCAGGAAGUCCGGAAGAGCACCGCUUGCAUAAUAGAAAUUCAUUGCCAAAUUGCACAGAAAAUCGCUGUGGUGCUAAGAAGGUGCCGCUGGGCAAGUUGGCCGCAUCUUGAAAGUUAUUCAACUGAACUCUUACCAUCCCAUCCCAUAGGGGAACAGCGAUUUUAAUUACCGCAAACGGCACUAGAUUUUAAUUAAGGGAUGGGCGCCCUGCCCAAAGAGCACUCUCGACUUGACUUUAAUUAAAACAUUAUCAGGACAAAAGCGGCCUUCGUUCCCCUGCUCAGGGUCGAAUAGUCUCCAGGAUCCAGUCCAUGUAGUCGGCUACCCGUGUGUAGACACCUGGCCAGCCCUCUAGUCCGCAGCGGUUGCCAAAGGAGACCACGCCCUCUUGGUACCACGCCUGGUCGAACCCCCUUCGCAUCAGCGGUCCGCCGGAGUCGCCAUCGCAGCUGUCGCGGUAGAAUUCCCCGCCAACACAGAGCUGGGAACUGAUCAGGUGGAUAUUCCUCGUGGCGAACUUACGCUCGCAGUAAUCGUGGUCGUUCACGGGCAGAUCCAAUCGCUGCUUGAUGGUGCUCUUCCGGGCUGUGAAUAAGAACUUUAAUCAAUAAAGGUACAUAUUUUAGGGUA